rnacentral:rRNA from 1 species
ACGGCUGAACCAGCAACUUGGAAGAAUGAAAAGCUAUUGCUGAUUGCAUUUAAUUUAAUGUAGUUACUACUUGGUAGUUUAAAGUUCUAGGUAGAAUUAUGAUGAUGACAUUAUCUAUCUAUUAGUCUUGACCAAAUUACGUGCCAGCAGUCGCGGUAAUACGUAGAAGACAAGUGUUAUUCAUCUUUAUUAGGUUUAAAGAGUACCAAGACGGUUAAUAAAGCCCAAAAUAAAUGAAUACGGGGGACACAUUAACUAGAGUUAUAUGAAAGGAAGCUCUAAGGUACUGUUGAGUGUAGAGAUGAAAUUUUUUGAUACCAGAUGAUUGGCACAGAUUUAUGCGAAGGCAUCUUCUUAUGUAAUAACUGACGUUGUAGGACGAAGGCUUAGCGAAUAAACAGGAUUAGGUACCCCAGUAAUCUAGGCAGAAAAUGAUGAAUGUCAUAGGUUCAUUAAAUAUAUAUAUAUUUACUAUAAGAUAAAAGUAAAUAGGUUAUAUUAGGGUCUAUAAACGAAAGUGUAAGCAUUCCACCUCAAGAGUAAUUUGGCAACAUUGGAACUGAAAUCAUUAGACCGUUUCUGAAACCAGUAGUGAAGUAUGUUGUUUAAUUAGAUGAUACACAAAAACCUUACCACAACUUGAAUAUAUAUAUAAUAUAUUUACAGGCGCUGCACGGCUGUCUACAGUUAAUGUCGUGAGACUUUGGUUAGCUCCAUUAAAUUAACGUAAACCCAAAUUUUAUUUAUAAAUAUAAUUAACAUUGUUAUAUUUGAUGUUUAAGAGGGAACAUGACAAGUCAUCAUGGCCAAAAAUG